rnacentral:sRNA from 1 species
GUUGGGUGCAGUGGUGCACACCUGUAAUCCCAGCAGCUCAGGAGGCUGAGGCAGGAGGAUAUCAAGUUCAAAGCCAGCCUCAGCAAAAAGUGAGGCCCUAAGCAACUCAGUGAGACCCUGUCUCUA